AUCGAACGCUGGCGGCAUGCCUUACUCAUGCAAGUCGAACGGCAGCACGGGUGCUUGCACCUGGUGGCGAGUGGCGAACGGGUGAGUAAUAUAUCGGAACGUACCUUAUUGUGGGGGAUAACGCAGCGAAAGCUGUGCUAAUACCGCAUAAUCCCUAAGGGGGAAAGCGGGGGACCGUAAGGCCUCGCGCAAUUAGAGCGGCCGAUACCUGAUUAGCUAGUUGGUGAGGUAAAGGCUCACCAAGGCAACGAUCAGUAGCUGGUCUGAGAGGACGAUCAGCCACACUGGGACUGAGACACGGCCCAGCCUCCUACGGGAGGCAGCAGUGGGGAAUUUUGGACAAUGGGGGCAACCCUGAUCCAGCAAUGCCGCGUGAGUGAAGAAGGCCUUCGGGUUGUAAAGCUCUUUUGUCAGGGAAGAAACAGCAGCUCUAACACAGUUUGCGAAUGACGGUACCUGAAGAAUAAGCACCGGCUAACUACGUGCCAGCCGCCGCCGUAA
rnacentral:rRNA from 1 species